rnacentral:rRNA from 1 species
AACGAACGCUGGCGGCAGGCUUAACACAUGCAAGUCGAACGCCCUGCAAGGGGAGUGGCAGACGGGUGAGUAACGCGUGGGAACGUGCCCUUCGCUUCGGAAUAUUCCCGGGAAACUGGGAGCAAUGCCGGAUACGCCGAAUUGGGAAAGAUUUAUCGGCGAAGGAUCGGCCCGCGUUAGAUUAGGUAGUUGGUGGGGUAAUGGCCUACCAAGCCUACGAUCUAUAGCUGGUCUGAGAGGAUGAUCAGCCACACUGGGACUGAGACACGGCCCAGACUCCUACGGGAGGCAGCAGUGGGGAAUCUUGGACAAUGGGCGCAAGCCUGAUCCAGCCAUGCCGCGUGAGUGAAGAAGGCCUUAGGGUUGUAAAACUCUUUCGCCGGUGAAGAUAAUGACGGUAGCCGGAGAAGAAGCCCCGGCUAACUUCGUGCCAGCAGCCGCAGUAAGAC